rnacentral:rRNA from 1 species
GACAGAGGGUGCAAACGUUGUUCGGAAUUACUGGGCGUAAAGCGUGUGUAGGCGGUCUCUUAAGUCGGAUGUGAAAGCCCCGGGCUCAACCCGGGAAGUGCACUCGAAACUGGGAGGCUAGAGUACUGGAGAGGUUGGUGGAAUCCUCGGUGUAGAGGUGAAAUUCGUAGAUAUCGAGAGGAACACCGGUGGCGAAGGCGGCCAACUGGACAGAUACUGACGCUGAGACACGAAAGCGUGGGGAGCAAACAGG